rnacentral:rRNA from 1 species
CCUACGGGGGGCAGCAGUCGAGAAUCAUUCACAAUGGGGGAAACCCUGAUGGUGUGACGCCGCGUGGGGGAAUGAAGGUCUUCGGAUUGUAAACCCCUGUCAUGUGGGAGCAAAUUAAAAAGAUAGUACCACAAGAGGAAGAGACGGCUAACUCUGUGCCAGCAGCCGCGGUACUACAGAGGUCUCAAGCGUUGUUCGGAAUCACUGGGCGUAAAGCGUGCGUAGGCUGUUUCGUAAGUCGUGUGUGAAAGGCGCGGGCUCAACCCGCGGACGGCACAUGAUACUGCGAGACUAGAGUAAUGGAGGGGGAGGCGGAAUUCUAGGUGUAGCAGUGAAAUGCGUAGAUAUCGAGAGGAACACUCGUGGCGAAGGCGGGUUCCUGGACAUUAACUGACGCUGAGGCACGAAGGCCAGGGGAGCGAAAGGGAUUAGAUACCCUGGUAGUC